CGAGGACCAAAUCUCGUAAGGCUAAAUACUCUUUCUAACCGAUAGCGCAUAGUACCGUGAGGGAAAGGUGAAAAGAACCCCGGGAGGGGAGUGAAAGAGAACCUGAAAUUGUGUGCUUACAAGCGGUCAGAGCCACUUCGGUGGUGAUGGCGUGCCUUUUGGAGAAUGAUCCUGCGAGUUACGUUUCAUGGCGAGGUUAAGAAGAACGGAGCCGAAGGGAAACCGAGUCUGAAUAGGGCGCAAGAGUCGUGGAGC
rnacentral:rRNA from 1 species